UAAUUGAAGAGUUUGAUCAUGGCUCAGAUUGAACGCUGGCGGCAGGCCUAACACAUGCAAGUCGAGCGGUAACAGGGGAAGCUUGCUUCUCGCUGACGAGCGGCGGACGGGUGAGUAAUGUAUGGGGAUCUGCCCGAUAGAGGGGGAUAACUACUGGAAACGGUAGCUAAUACCGCAUAAUCUCUCAGGAGCAAAGCAGGGGAACUUCGGUCCUUGCGCUAUCGGAUGAACCCAUAUGGGAUUAGCUAGUAGGUGAGGUAAUGGCUCACCUAGGCGACGAUCCCUAGCUGGUCUGAGA
rnacentral:rRNA from 1 species